rnacentral:rRNA from 1 species
CAAUAGCGUAUAUUUAAGUUGUUGCGGUUAAAAAGCUCGUAGUUGGAUUUUGGGUCGGGGGCACCGGUCCGCCGUUCCGGUGUGCACUGGUGGCCCCUUCCUUUCUGCCGGGGACGUGCGUCGCACUUAAUUGGGUGGCGUUCGGAGUCGGCGUUGUUACUUUGAAAAAAUUAGAGUGUUCAAAGCAAGCCAUCGCUCUGAAUACAUUAGCAUGGAAUAACAUGAUAGGACUCCGGUCUUAUUUUGUUGGUUUCCGAGACUGGAGUAAUGAUUAAGAGGGACAGUCGGGGGCAUCCGUAUUUCAUUGUCAGAGGUGAAAUUCUUGGAUUUAUGAAAGACGAACUUCUGCGAAAGCAUUUGCCAAGGAUGUUUUCAUUA